rnacentral:rRNA from 1 species
GAUCAUGGCUCAGGAUGAACGCUAGCUACAGGCUUAACACAUGCAAGUCGAGGGGCAGCAUCAUCAAAGCUUGCUUUGAUGGAUGGCGACCGGCGCACGGGUGAGUAACACGUAUCCAACCUGCCGACAACUCUGGGAUAGCCUUUCGAAAGAAAGAUUAAUACCGGAUGGCAUAGUUUUCCCGCAUGGGACGAUUAUUAAAGAAUUUCGGUUGUCGAUGGGGAUGCGUUCCAUUAGG